UUCCCCUCAGCAUAGCAGGGUUGGGCUGAGCUCUACUGCUGUUCACCCAAAAGGAUCAAAUGAAAGAAGGGGUGAUGACUUGUCUGGACCUGUUCUUUAGCAGGAGCCAUGAAGUGCACAGUUACAAAGCCAAAAGGAACAUCAUGAUUAUUCAGUAUGUCUGCAACAGGCAGCUGCAACAUAGGUGGUGGUCUUCCUCACCACCAGACUUCAAGGAGGACAGCCUGUGUGCAGACUUUCCUCUGCCCAUAGCUUUGCUGUCAGAGCAGUGAUAACCAAAGACACCACAUUCCAGAGCACAAGCACUGAGAAAUCUCUCUGUGGCCUUUUCUUUGGUCACAAACAAGUGAGGUCCAAGUGUCUAGAUCAUGUUGAGGAAAUUUUUGCUGAUUUAACAGCUUUUCCAAAGACCCUCUCCACCUGAUCAUAAGCCACA